AGUGAACGCUGGCGGUAGGCCUAACACAUGCAAGUCGAACGGCAGCACAGUAAGAGCUUGCUCUUACGGGUGGCGAGUGGCGGACGGGUGAGGAAUACAUCGGAAUCUACUUUUUCGUGGGGGAUAACGUAGGGAAACUUACGCUAAUACCGCAUACGACCUACGGGUGAAAGCAGGGGAUCUUCGGACCUUGCGCGAUUGAAUGAGCCGAUGUCGGAUUAGCUAGUUGGCGGGGUAAAGGCCCACCAAGGCGACGAUGCGUAGCUGGUCUGAGAGGAUGAGCGGCGACGCGGGAACUGAUACACGGUCCAGACUCCUGCUGGAGGCAGCAGUAGGGAAUGUCGCUCAAUGGGCGAAAGCCUGACGGAGCAGCUGCGCGUGAGGAAAGAAGGCCUGCUGAUCGGAAAACUCUGUGAUGAGGGAAGAACAAAUGUGUAAGUAACUAUGCACGUCUUGAGGGUACCUAAUCAGAAAGACACGGCUAACGACGUG
rnacentral:rRNA from 1 species